UAUCAUUUAAAAUAAUUUUUGAAGUACUAUAAAUUGUCGUAAAGUUUUUAUUUUCAGCAUCAAUUCACUUUGUACCGUGUUCAAGAAUAAAUCUAUUCAAUAUGAAUUUCUGGGCUUUAUUUGCAAUUCUUAUCGCUGCUUUAUUGCAAUUUGCUAAUUUUGCAGUAGCUUUACCACAAGGUGGCCCCCCACCCGGUCCUCCACCACAUGGGACUUCACCAGGACCACCACCA